UAGUACGUGACGCGGUAGCUGUACCGUCGCAUUCAGCUGCUCUAGUCCUGUUUCGCCGUGUACUCCAUCGUACCCGAGGCCGACAGACAACUGUGACUAGUACCGUGUGACGAGCCUUGAGCCGUCUGUGUUUGCCGCCCAUGCCAGCCUGUGGCUACCGACGUCGUCGUGCUGGUCGUGCUAACCGUUUGUUACUAGUGCUGCUAUCCGAAGUCAAGGUUCAGCGGUAGCGGUCGCCGCACUUGCAGGGAUUGGAAAGCUGGCCCGAGACAACCGCAAGUGAACCCCCCCAAAACUGGCGCUGCUGGUACCUUGAUAAUGUAUUCAUACUACUAGUACAAUCAAAUUCAAUAUCAAUUGUCUAUGUUUUUAAAAAUAGUGCUUAUGAAUUUUAUUAUUGCUCAUUUGAUGUCUUCUCGCUUCUGCAUUCCAAAACAUGUGUCUUCCCUUAAUUUGCUAUAAUGUUUCGACAGAUGAAUAUUAUGGUAACUACAGAUAAGUAGCAAUGCUGAGAGCGAUCCCUUUAGUGACAAAGAAAUGAUUUAACUUAAAUCUAUUCAGUUCCAGCGUUACUGUUCUAGGUUUUAAGAUGAGUUUCAAAGUGCAUGAAGUGUAUUGUCCUGCUGGACCUCUUGAUGAACUAUUAGAGAGAGGAGAGGCUUCCCUUAGGCAAUAUGGCCUUCACCAGAAUGAACCAAAUGAAGCAAAGGCAGCCGUUAAAAUUGUUAAUUCUUGGUUGAAAUCUAAUGAAACUGUGGUGUUAUUUAGUGGGAUGAAGGUGGCCCAAUCUAAUGAGAAAUAUACAGAAGAGUCUUUUUGGGAAGGUGUCUUUCGUGAAGAACAUUGUUCUAUUGAGUAUUGGGACAGCCUGUUCCUGGACGACAGGAGGUACAGAGAAUUCGAA